AUUGAACGCUGGCGGCAGGCCUAACACAUGCAAGUCGAACGAGUGGCGGACGGGUGAGUAAUGUCUGGGAAACUGCCCGAUGGAGGGGGAUAACUACUGGAAACGGUAGCUAAUACCGCAUACCCUCGGAUGUGCCCAGAUGGGAUUAGCUCGUCGGUGGGGUAACGGCUCACCUAGGCGACGAUCCAUCGCUGGUCUGAGAGGAUGCCCAGCCACACUGGAACGGAGACACGGUCCAUACUCCUACGGGAGGCAGCAGUGGGGAAUAUGGCACAAUGGGCGCAAGCCUGAUGCAGCCAUGCCGCGUGUGUGAAGAAGGCCUUCGGGUUGUAAAGUACUUUCAGCUAGGAGGCGUUACUCGCAGAAGAAGCACCGGCUAACUCCGUGCCAGCAGCCGCGGUAAUAC
rnacentral:rRNA from 1 species